rnacentral:rRNA from 1 species
AUUGAACGCUGGCGGCAUGCUUUACACAUGCAAGUCGAACGGUAACAGGCCUUCGGGUGCUGACGAGUGGCGAACGGGUGAGUAAUGCAUCGGAACGUGCCCAAUCGUGGGGGAUAACGUAGCGAAAGUUACGCUAAUACCGCAUAAGCCCUGAGGGGGAAAUGGGGGACCGCAAGGCCUCGCGCGAAUGGAGCGGCCGAUGUCAGAUUAGCUAGUUGGUGGGGUAAAGGCCCACCAAGGCGACGAUCUGUAGCGGGUCUGAGAGGAUGAUCCGCCACACUGGGACUGAGACACGGCCCAGACUCCUACGGGAGGCAGCAGUGGGGAAUUUUGGACAAUGGGCGCAAGCCUGAUCCAGCCAUGCCGCGUGCGGGACGAAGGCCUCGGUUGUAA